rnacentral:rRNA from 1 species
UUGAACGCUGGCGGAAUGCUUUACACAUGCAAGUCGAACGGCAGCACGGGGGCAACCCUGGUGGCGAGUGGCGAACGGGUGAGUAAUACAUCGGAACGUGCCCAGUCGUGGGGGAUAACUACGCGAAAGCGUAGCUAAUACCGCAUACGAUCUACGGAUGAAAGCGGGGGAUCGCAAGACCUCGCGCGAUUGGAGCGGCCGAUGGCAGAUUAGGUAGUUGGUGGGAUAAAGGCCUACCAAGCCGACGAUCUGUAGCUGGUCUGAGAGGACGACCAGCCACACUGGGACUGAGACACGGCCCAGACUCCUACGGGAGGCAGCAGUGGGGAAUUUUGGACAAUGGGCGCAAGCCUGAUCCAGCCAUUCCGCGUGCAGGAUGAAGGCCCUCGGGUUGUAAACUGCUUUUGUACGGAACGAAACGGCGCUUUCUAAUACAGAGCGCUAAUGACGGUACCGUAAGAAUAAGCACCGGCUAACUACGUGCCAGCAGCCGCGGUAAUACGUAGGGUGCGAGCGUUAAUCGGAAUUACUGGGCGUAAAGCGUGCGCAGGCGGUGAUGUAAGACAGAUGUGAAAUCCCCGGGCUCAACCUGGGAACUGCAUUUGUGACUGCAUCGCUGGAGUGCGGCAGAGGGGGAUGGAAUUCCGCGUGUAGCAGUGAAAUGCGUAGAUAUGCGGAGGAACACCGAUGGCGAAGGCAAUCCCCUGGGCCUGCACUGACGCUCAUGCACGAAAGCGUGGGGAGCAAACAGGAUUAGAUACCCUGGUAGUCCACGCCCUAAACGAUGUCAACUGGUUGUUGGUCCUUCACUGGAUCAGUAACGAAGCUAACGCGUGAAGUUGACCGCCUGGGGAGUACGGCCGCAAGGUUGAAAACUCAAAGGAAUUGACGGGGACCCGCACAAGCGGUGGAUGAUGUGGUUUUAAUUCGAUGCAACGCGAAAAAACCUUACCCACCUUUGACAUGUACGGAACCCUCCAGAGAUGGAGGGGUGCUCGAAAGAGAGCCGUAACACAGGUGCUGCAUGGCUGUCGUCAGCUCGUGUCGUGAGAUGUUGGGUUAAGUCCCGCAACGAGCGCAACCCUUGUCAUUAGUUGCUACAUUCAGUUGGGCACUCUAAUGAGACUGCCGGUGACAAACCGGAGGAAGGUGGGGAUGACGUCAAGUCCUCAUGGCCCUUAUAGGUGGGGCUACACACGUCAUACAAUGGCCGGUACAAAGGGCUGCCAACCCGCGAGGGGGAGCCAAUCCCAUAAAACCGGUCGUAGUCCGGAUCGCAGUCUGCAACUCGACUGCGUGAAGUCGGAAUCGCUAGUAAUCGUGGAUCAGAAUGUCACGGUGAAUACGUUCCUGGGUCUUGUACACACCGCCCGUCACACCAUGGGAGCGGGUUCUGCCAGAAGUAGUUAGCCUAACCGCAAGGAGGGCGAUUACCACGGCAGGGUUCGUGACUGGGGUG